rnacentral:rRNA from 1 species
UACGUAGGUGGCAAGCGUUGUCCGGAUUUACUGGGUGUAAAGGGCGUGCAGCCGGGCUGACAAGUCAGAUGUGAAAUCCCGCGGCUCAACCGCGGAACUGCAUUUGAAACUGUCAGUCUUGAGUACCGGAGAGGUCAUCGGAAUUCCUAGUGUAGCGGUGAAGUGCGUAGAUAUUAGGAGGAACACCAGUGGCGAAGGCGGUCUGCUGGACAGCAACUGACGCUGAGGCGCGAAAGCGUGGGGAGCAAACAGG